rnacentral:rRNA from 1 species
UACUUGCCUCGAAGCCGCGACCUUACGGGACCGGCGCAUAUAUUAGGUCAAAGCCAAACUGGCCUUGGUCUGUGGUUGAGACGACUCUGGAUACUCUAGCUACGAUCGCAAGGCCUUUGUGCCUGCGACAUAUCUUUCAUGUGUCUGCCCUAUCAACUCCUUAGUAGGUCAAUGACCGACUAUGGUGAUUACGGGUAACGGGGAAUCAGGGUUCGAUUCCGGAGAGGGAGCCUGAGAAAUAGCUACCACAUCCAAGGAAGGCAGCAGGCGCGCAAAUUACCCACUACUAGAUCAGUGAGGUAGUGACAAUAAAUAACGAUACGGAACUCUUUCGAGGCUCCGUAAUCGGAAUGAGACCACUUUAAAUCCUUUAACGAGGAUCAAUUGGAGGGCAAGUCUGGUGCCAGCAGCCGCGGUAAUUCCAGCUCCAAUAGCGUAUAUUAAAGUUGUUGCAGUUAAAAAGCUCGUAGUUGGAUCUGAGGUAUUGAACGGAUGGUGCAUUUUCGGAUGUGACUGUCUGUUCGACCUUUUGCUGUUAUAACUUUUGGUGCUCUUUACUGGGUGCUAUUGGUUAACGGCAUAUUACUUUGAAAAAAUCAGAGUGCUCAAAGCAGGCUUAACGCUUGCAUAAUGUUGCAUGGAAUAAUGGAAUAGGACUUCGGUUCUAUUUUGUUGGUUUUCGGAAUUGAAGUAAUGAUUAACAGAGACUGCCGGGGGCAUUCGUAUGGCCGGGCGAGGGGUGAAAUCCGUUGACCCUGGUCAGACGUCCUAACGCGAAAGCAUUUGCCAAGAAUGUUUUCUUUAAUCAAGAACGAAAGUCAGAGGUUCGAAGACGAUCAGAUACCGUCCUAGUUCUGACCAUAAAUGAUGCCAACUACACGUCCAAACGGUUGCUAGUUCGACUGGGUGGGCGGUCCCCGGGAAACCAAAGUCUUUGGGACCCGGGGGUAGUAUGGUUGCAAAACUGAAACUUAAAGGAAUUGACGGAAGGGCACCACCAGGAGUGGAGCCUGCGGCUUAAUUUGACUCAACACGGGAAAACUCACCCGGACAGGACAUGAUAAGGAUUGACAGAUUAAAGGCUCUUUCUAGAUCUUAUGGUUGGUGGUGCAUGGCCGUUCUUAGUUGGUGGAGCGAUUUGUCUGGUUUAUUCCGUUAACGAGCGAGACUCUAAUUUACUAAAUAUGUCAACGGAAACUCCACUCAGUGACUUCUUAGAGAGACUAGUGUCGUUUAGACACAUGAGAAAGAGCAAUAACAGGUCUGUGAUGCCCUUAGAUGUCCGGGGCUGCACGCGCGCUACACUGACAGUAUCAGCGAGUAUGCUCCUGAUCAGAGAUGAUUGGGUAACCCAAUGAAGUACUGUCGUGAACGGGAUCGGGCUAUGUAAUUGAGCCCGUGAACGAGGAAUUCCUAGUAAACGCAAGUCAUAAGCUUGUGUUGAUUACGUCCCUGCCCUUUGUACACACCGCCCGUCGCUACUACCGAUUGAAUGGUUUAGU